rnacentral:rRNA from 1 species
AUUGAACGCUGGCGGCAGGCCUAACACAUGCAAGUCGGACGGUAGCACAGAGGAGCUUGCUCCUCGGGUGACGAGUGGCGGACGGGUGAGUAAUGUCUGGGGAUCUGCCCGAUAGAGGGGGAUAACCACUGGAAACGGUGGCUAAUACCGCAUAACGUCGCAAGACCAAAGAGGGGGACCUUCGGGCCUCUCACUAUCGGAUGAACCCAGAUGGGAUUAGCUAGUAGGCGGGGUAACGGCCCACCUAGGCGACGAUCCCUAGCUGGUCUGAGAGGAGGACCAGCCACACUGGAACUGAGACACGGUCCAGACUCCUACGGGAGGCAGCAGUGGGGGAUAUUGCACAAGGGGCGCAAGCCUGAUGCAGCCAUGCCGCGUGUAUGAAGAAGGCCUUCGGGUUGUAAAGUACUUUCAGCGGGGAGGAAGGCGAUAAGGUUAAUAACCUUGUCGAUUGACGUUACCCGCAGAAGAAGCACCGGCUAACUCCGUGCCAGCCGCCGCAGUAA